CCGGACGAUAGGAGGGAGCGAGGCGAGUGGGGGUAAGUAAAGACCGAUGGCCAGCGAGGAGGAGAGCGCCGUGAAGGAGCCUAUCGAUCUCAUAAGGCUCAGCCUCGACGAGCGCAUCUACGUCAAGUUCCGCUCCGACCGCGAGCUCCGUGGAAAGCUUCACGCGAAGCGUCGAAAGGAUCUGUCUUUUAUAAGUGUCAGGGUUCCUGAAUAUUUAUUCCAGUACCAUACUGGAAGUCAUGGGAUGAGAUUACACAUCUUGGUUGGUGGUAGCACCAGGCUUAUGAUCAACAUUUAAAUAUGAUACUUGGGGAUGUUGAAGAGAUAAUAACUAACGUAGAAAUUGAUGACGAGACUUAUGAAGAGAUUGUUCGGACCACCAGGCGGACCGUUCCAUUUCUUUUUGUCCGAGGCGAUGGAGUCAUACUAGUUUCUCCGCCUCUGAGGACGGCAUGACAGCCUGAUGAAGGAUGUAUUGAUGAUGCACCAUCUCUUUUUCGGUGACCAUAACUGAAAAUUAUCCACAGUAGUCACCUGUCCAUGGCACAUAUGAAUAUGUUUAGCAGGUUAAAGGAUUCUUAUUCAUAUUUCAACAGCACUCCAGUUUUAGUGGGAUCACCUGUAUUCAGUUGUGCAUCUGACAGCUCUAUUGUGGUUGUACCAAUACUAGAGUUCCGAACCAUGUUCUUGUCGGCCAGAUUUCAUAUGUUGAUUGGUCCCUGAUGUUUUUACAGCAA